rnacentral:rRNA from 1 species
CACGGGGUUGCGAGCGUUGUCCGGAAUUACUAGGCGUAAAGGGCAGGCAGGCGGAUCCAUAAGUUUAUCGUUUAAGGCGUCGGCUUAACCGGCGUAGGGCGGUAGAUACUGUGGAUCUGGAAUGCGGUUGGGGAAGACAGAAUUCCUGGUGUAGCAGUGGAAUGCGCAGAGAUCAGGAGGAAUACCGAAGGAGAAGGAAGUCUUCCAAGCCGUUAUUGACGCUCAACUGCGAAGGUGUGGGUAUCAAACAGGAUUAGAUACCCUGGUAGUCCCUGA